rnacentral:lncRNA from 1 species
AGGGUGCUAAGCAGAUUGUAUCUUAGGUGCCUUGCCUUGUCCGUCCCUAAAACAGUAUAAUUCUAUAUACUUAAACAUUAUUUAUGUUUUCAUAAAAUGGUCAAAAGAUGUGAUUAAUUGUAUAAUGGUGCAGACGUUUCCCAGAGUGCUCUAUCAUAACGCAGGUUCAUUUGAAGAUCAAAUAAGGGGACAUACAAUCCGGUUCCGCCAGGAACCUGUAUCCCUCACUUUAGCCAUCCUAUUAGGAAUAGGAGUUGCUGCAGGGGUGGGCACAAGGACCACUGCCCUGGUCCAUGGGACACAACAAAUGACCCAAUUAGAAACAGCAAUGGACCAAAACUUAAAGAUAUUAUAAACCUCCAUCACAGCUUUGCAGGAAUCUUUAACUUCUCUCUCUGAAGUUGUUUUACAGAACAGGCGAGGGUUGGACCUCCUCUUCAUGAGAGAAGAGGGCCUUUGUGCUGCAUUGAGGGAAAAAUGUUGUUUUUAUGCCGACCAUACUGGAGUUGUAAAAGAAUCUAUGAGCAAACUAAGAAGACGCCUUGAAGAGCGUCAGAGAGAGAGAGAGAGAAACCCAAAAAGGGUGGUAUGAGUCUUGGUUCACACAGUCCCCCUGGUUAACUACGCUUUUAUCAGCCCUGGCCAGUCCUUUAAUAAUUCUUAUAUUGUUGCUAACUCUAGGACCCUGUUUGCUCAACCGUGUAGUUUCCUUUCUCCAAGCCCAAAUUGGACAAAUCAAACUUAUGGUAAUCAGACAACAAUAUACCCCACUAGCAGACACAGAAUGUGACACCCCCCCCCCAAUGAUCACUUUUAUGAUUAAAAGUAGCCAGAAGAAGAAGUGGGGAAUGAAAGGUUAAUAAAAUAGGUACUUGUCACUCCGUUUUUCUGUAUGCUUAACAAAACACUGUUGAAAUCCUGAGAACUGUUUGCUACUCUUGUUCCCAGAAUGUGCUGUCCCCAACUGCCAAACUGCAGAAUGCACUCCCUCACUCGAUUGCAAGCAAACUGCCCACUCGCCCUGACCCGUCAAUGAACUUCCCUCCCUGCCCUCUCCAAGAAAAGUAUAUAAGCUCUGUUUAAGCUGUUCCCAGUGCUCUAUCUCUCUUUGCUCUAGUGGGCUCUGAGCCCCAGCAUGCUGGUCUCCAAAUAAACCCUUUUUGCUGUUGCAUG